CCCAGACUCCUACGGGAGGCAGCAGUAGGGAAUAUUGCUCAAUGGGGGAAACCCUGAAGCAGCAACGCCGCGUGGAGGAUGAAGGCUUUCGGAUUGUAAACUCCUUUUGUUAGAGAAGAUAAUGACAGUAUCUAACGAAUAAGCACCGGCUAACUCCGUGCCAGCAGCCGCGGUAAUACGGAGGGUGCAAGCGUUACUCGGAAUCACUGGGCGUAAAGAGCGCGUAGGCGGGAUAGCAAGUCAGAUGUGAAAUCCUAUGGCUUGACCAUAGAACUGCAUUUGAAACUGUUAUUCUAGAGUAUGGGAGAGGUAGGUGGAAUUCUUGGUGUAGGGGUAAAAUCCGUAGAGAUCAAGAGGAAUACUCAUUGCGAAGGCGACCUGCUAGAACAUAACUGACGCUGAUGCGCGAAAGCGUGGGGAGCAAACAGGAUUAGAUACCCGAGUA
rnacentral:rRNA from 1 species